AUGUCUACAUGUCUCACAGAUAUGAUUGGUGCCAAUGAGGUGGAUUUUAUUGGGCUACAAGAAACUAUGAAGAAAUCCUAUAAUCAUUCCUUUUUUAGGAAGAUAGAUCCGAAUACAAAAUUCCAUUGGGAAUGGAUUCCUUCGAGGGGAAAGUCAGGGGGUAUCCUUUGUGGCCUCAAUAAAGACAAAUUUGAUGUCAUGGGAUCUAGACAGGGCAAAUAUAUCCUACAAAUGGACUUGUUUGAUAAAAACAAGAAUUGUGAUUGGUCUCUCCUUAUAGUUUAUGGUGCUGCUCAUGAUGAGCAUAAGCCUGAAUUCAUAGCAGAAUUAUCUGCCUUCUGUCAUGGUAUUAAUAGACCCUAUUUGGUGGGGGGCUUCAAUAUUAUUCGCCACAAUGGUGAGAAAAACAAGAAAACACCCAUGUCUCAUUUUUCAGAUGUGUUUAACUCUGUUAUCCACCUGCUUGGUUUAAGGGAGAUUCACAUGACUGGGGGAUGUUAUACGUGGUCCAAUAAACAGGAAAACCCAACUCUUGAAAAAUUGGACAAAGUGCUGAUGUCUCCUGAUUGGGAAGACUUAUUUCCCCUCGCUUCGGUGAGUAAGCUGGUGAAAGAACUAUCAGACCACAAUCCCCUUUUAUUGGAUGGUGGGUCGCCUCAUCUAGAGCACCAGGUAAUAGGUGCUUUAAAUUUGACAAUGCCUGGCUUAGUAAUCCUGAAUUUCUCCCCUUGGUGGCCGAUAUUUGGUCAAGACCAGUAUAUUCGGUCGACCCCAUAG
rnacentral:rRNA from 1 species